rnacentral:lncRNA from 1 species
AUAGGCAGCUUUAGCCAACCAGGCAGCUGACUGCAGAUACAGGCCUGCAUCCAGAUGAGUCCAGAAAAGCAACCUAGACACUACUGGCAAAGACAUUGAAAAGAAUCACACUGCUAAACCAGUAGCAGCUUUUAUCUUCUUCUCAGAUUGUAUACAUGCAGGAUAAAAGUGUUUCUAACACAUAGACUUCUAUAUUCCAGCAUAAAGAUGUAUUAGGCGCAUUUAUACUUUUACAUCGAAGCCUGUUUCAACAUGAACGGAGCCCAGAUAUUUAUGUAGGCCAGUAAUUGGAGUGUAUUUCCCUGUUCAAUUUCACAUUGUCUAUAAAAGGGUUUCUCAUGAUCGAUGACUUUCUAGUUAAAUUCAGAAGAAAACAUCUUGCAGCUACUGCCCUAUUGCCAUGGCCACACAUCACUGCCUUCUAGACAUGGGAAGUUGGUGACUUAAUCCUCGUUAUACCCUGAUUUUGGACAAAUUUUACAAGAAGAAUAGGACUUCUACUUCUCUAUGUCUACAUGCACCUGGAACAGUGCUAGGUCUAUGCUUACAAAUUGAUUGGUUCAGGUCACCGCCAUGAGCCUCAGGACAGAAAAUUGCCGGAUAUGAGAGAGAGAGAGAGAUUUGACUGGGCUAAGAAAGAAAUGAACACGAUUUAGAGAUGGAAAUGGUGACAUAUGGGCCUUUGAAGCCUCCCAUGUUCCAGAGAAGCCUUUUCUAGCUGAUCUCCCACCAUGACAUCCUUCCCCCACAGCUGGUUUGUCUGUUAUUCCACCCUCUGACUUCAUCCUUCAGGUGAGGUUUCACCAUGUUAGUCAGGAUGGUCUCGAUCUCCUGACCUCGUGACCUGCCCAGCUCGGCCUCCCAAAGUGCUGGGAUUACAGGCAUGAGCCAUUGCGCCUAACCUCAGAAACCAUUUUUAUAACCUCAAUACCUAAUAGAAACUGGCACAUGGCCCCUGUGAGCUGUGACUGCAAGAGUCAGCACCUAAAUUAGAUCAACACUACAACAUCAAAAAGCCAGCUUGAUGGCACAGCGGGGAGUGAGGAAGACUCGGUGGACAAAUCUGACUGGAAAACAAGUAGGCGUUGCAGAUGAAGACCUGGAACCAUGGUAGGAAGUGGGACAGGGAGCAUUUGGACAAGCUGUUCAAGAACUGAUCAUGCUCAUGUGUAUGGGAAAACAGAUGGAGGAAGAGAAAUUCCUGAAGAGCACAAGACUGGUGGGGCAAGGAACAAGCCUACUGAGAUGAGUUGCAGAUUUGAAGAUGGGAGAAAUGGUUUCGUUGUCUACCAUGUAAAAACUCAUUUAUGCAAGAUGCUUGAUAUCUGAAUUUCAAUUUCUUCAUUAUCAAAAUGAAUAUUAAAAAUACUCUACUUCUUAGAGUUGUCAAAAA